CACAAGCUGGAUAGAAUGGGCCACAUCAAAACUGCAGGCCACAUUUGCCCACCCCAGCACUAGGGGUUCUGAUAAGCCGGGACAUGGACAGGAGCCAGGACAGUCCCUCCUCUGAGAGUGUUGCAUGCUCUCCAGGAACUGGAACAUCUCUUCUUGGGGUACAGCUAGGACCAAGAGAUCUGUGGACCCACAGAGCCCACCAACUUAUGGCAAUCUUCCCUAUGGCUCUGUGGUUUGUUGGGCUCCUCCUGACUUCUGGGUCCUAAAGAUCAUAUUUGUUGUGUCUCCUGUCUUUGAAACCAUGGUGCGUAUCAGGGAAAAAAAUGUACUUCUGCAGCAAAUAAAGCAGAUGAUGAUGAUUCUACCAAAUGACUUGCCAACUGCAACUAUGAGGAAGAUUUUUCAGUGACUGACACGCAUGAAAUGAUUCUGGGGUACUUGUCUGAGAAAAUGUCUUCCCUUUAUUUUUGUAAUGGUAUAAAAGGUCUGAUUUAAAUCUUUGUCACCAUAAGGAGAACUGGCAAUGAGGACUUCUGAACUUCACCAUACUUCACAGCCACUCUCAAAUAUGAAUGUUGACAUUGUGUUUAUCCUAAAUGCCCUACCCUGAUACUUUAACAAAUUUGUCUCAAACUAACAAAAAACGGAUACACAAGUGGUAUGGCUUACAUAACAAAGGGUAAUCUUAUGCCCAAAAAGGAGGGCAAUGCUCUGGUAACCUUUCUCCAAGCACUGUUUUUACAUAUUUCUCAAUUAUUCUUCAAUGUAAAAUCUACAUUAAUAUAUAACUUGAAUCAUUCCAUUGCAAAUCAUAGUAUUCUUAAUUGCAUUUUAAUUAUGGGAUCACAGUCUCUCCCAAUGGGUUUCCAUCAUUGCAAAUGUAAAGUUAAACUGACUCUCCAAGUAUAGCAUGAUCUGAAAACAAAUGGAUUACAUAGUCCUCAACUAUGUCCACUGCAUCUACCUGUGUAACCUGGAUAUAGCGAUACAUGAAAUACUUUCAGAAGAGAUGUGAUAGUUGAAAGAAUCAGCCAGUUUCUCAUAAAGUGGGGUGGAAUAAUGAUACAAGGAUAGAGAUUGUAUUGUCCCUAUCUGGGUUUUUCCUAUUCUUUUUUGUAUGUACAGGUUUUCCAUUGACUUUCUAAUGUAA